UCUGAUCCCCUUACACUUGAUUUUAUUCACUGGUAUUGAACAUCAGCGUUUCAAAAUGCCUUCUUGAAGUAUGAGCCUUGUUUCUCUUGAUUUAAACUGGAAACAGAUCUGCUUCUUUGAUGGAUGCUUGCUGGUCUGGUGGGAUGGAUGAAGAGAAUGGACCUACCAGAUGGAGGAGCAGAGCUUGAAAGCAGAACAGAGAUGGAAGAAUAAAGCUUGAAAGCAGAACCAAGGUCCAUAUCACCACCAAAAAAAAACUUGACUACUUUAAAAAAGAAGUGAAGAAAAAAAAAUCAGGACCUUGGACUCUUCUGAAAUGCCAAGGAAGAGGCAUUUCUUGUGGGUUGAGCACCUCAGAGGCUUCUGUGUGCUUUGUGUCAUCACCAGAGAGGUAGGCCAGCGUGGCAUGUGGUAAUGGUGAGGACAAGACCAACUGGUCGGUGCAUCUCAGAUGAGAUGGUGUUAUGACAAAGCCAUGAACAGGACUGACUGCCAGAAUUACUGUCCCGAGGAAAUCUUAUGCCUCCUUGGAAAGCAAGGACUCAAAAUCAGAGAUGUUUGGCUUUCUAAAGAGCUUCAAGAAGCUCUCCCCUAGCCAGCAGCAUGUUGGUACUCAUGCAGCUGGACACGCACCCCUAGACGCAGGGGUGUAUGCACACACACAAGCACGUGUGUAUUUCACUAUUUUGCUCAGUGUAUUUUGACCUUCAGCACCAAAGUAGGACUCACUUCUGACUGCAGUGUUUAUGUCAAAGCUGAUACAUCUUCAUCACUCACCAGGGCUUUUCAUCAGACAAAGGGGCUGUGUCACCUUUCCUCUCUUUUCUUCUGAGUCUCCUUUCUAUCAUGAGCUUUUAGAGCUGCGAUAAACAGGAGUGAGCCAUACACAGCAUAAUGAUAACCGAGAUGAGAGUGUCAAAUCUACAUUCACUCUAUGUGCAAGUGUUACUGAAGGAGAAGACACCAGGGAAGGGUGAGCAGAAGUGGCAAAAACAAAAGGGCAACUGCAAUGGAAAUGGGAUGAGGCUUACCCAAAUUCUGUUAAAAUAAUAAACCAUUUUAUGAAAAAUCUACAUCAGAUUAGAGAGAUGCCAGAGCCACAAUCCUAGACUUGUUUUAAAAAACUUAUGGAGGUCAGCUCAUCACCUCUGAAUGUUAUUUUCAAUAGCAAACCUCCCUGCAAUGGUGUUUCUUGGUCUAGAGAGUCACAGUCUUGCAGACCCGAAGUCUGGGGCAAAGACCUGUUUGUGAAGACAGAGGCCAGAGACAAGUCUGCUUGCUGAAAACAGAAACACAAAAAAUUAAUAAAGAAUUUAAAUUCAACAGCAGGUCAUGAAAUAAUAUGUUUUCAAGGGAAAAGAAAUCACUGUCAUAUGUAAAAAUGUGCUUCAUAAAAGGGGAAGAGGAUGUGCCUUUGGCAGUUUGGAUGUGCCUGCAACUGGGAGACUUCCUGGGAUAUUGGUCUGCCCUUUUUUGAAAGACACUGAGAAAUGAAAGGGGGUCAAGAAAAGACAACUGCAAUAAAAGGAAAGCAUGAGCACAGUGAGCCUCCAAAACCAGAGACCCUGUGAGUUUUGAGAAGUACCUCGCUUCGUGGCUUGGGACAGAGCCCCUGUGAGGACCUACUGCAUGUGCCUCACACUUGAGGAAAAUGAGGGAGAAUAGGACCCACCUUGCAAAGGUACUAGGCAAAACUGAUGGCUCUGGGUCCUUAAUACAAUAAAAAUCCAGGCUUAAGGGAGCAGACAAAAUUUGCAAAUUAAACCUGUGACAGAGUAGAAAACUGCAGUCUGGUAUCCUUAACUACUGAAAUAUCCUUUCCAUGUGUAUCUCUAUAUAAUUUACAUAAUAACAGGUGCUAUUCUAAUGAAAGGAGGAAAAAAAAAAGACAAGCACAAGAAAUUAUAUAAAUGGCAAUAUGGUUGUGGAAAAGAGCUAAAGUAACUGUACACAUAGUUGUGAAACCCUGGCUUGAAGAAGGACAAGACAGUAUUUCCUGUAAACAUAUUGUACUACUGUAAAAACAAGCAGGAAAACGUUGGGUUAUCAAGAGAAAACCCCAAUGCUUAAUGAUGGGGACGGCUAGGAAAGUGUCACAUGAGAUCAUUAGGUCAUCCUCAUUAGAGAAGUUUAAAAUUACUUUUGCUAAAGUUCAAGAGAGAGUUAUGUGGAGGAAGCUCUUGUGUGUUUUAGAGACUAGACCAAGAGGGGCAUCUACAGUUUUAUGUGAACAAAGACAAAAUGUCAUGUGAGAUAUUAAUUGGAUCUUUAUUUAGCUGAAAUUCAAGACCUGCAGAUGAUGGUUCUGUGGUUUGUCACCAAUAGUCUGGCCUGCAGUUCUCAAGUUUGCUCUAAUGCUCUCCAUUUUAUUUACAUAAUAGAGAUUUUCUUCCUUCCUUCUUUCCUUCUCACAGAGUAACUCUGCCUUUGAAGUUUUCAGUACUGAAGGGUUCAUUCUUCUGGUUGAAGGCUUGUGUCCUUUCCUUAUUACAGGGUAACUCUUAAGAGGCAGAGGAGGAUGGACACAGUGAUGAGAUCCUCUCUCAGACUGAAGACAGAUUAGGAAAGCUUUUCUGUCUCUUUUACCUCAGCAUACUUUAAAAUAUGUACCUGGUCUUUCUUGGAAGAACAACUCCAUCAGUGUUUGCUCUAGCUCUUCCAUAGCUCUGCAGAUGUGCAGAUUACAAAGCACACAUCCAUCCCUGUAACCUGGUAUGCCAAUGACAAAACCUCACUGCACAAUGUUAAUUCAUCCCUCUGCUUUUGGCUUUCCUUCCACAGAGCUUCUGGGGGCAUCCUUCCCCAAGACAGGGAGAGCAAGGACAGACAGGAGACACCAGGGAGAAGACUGGCAUGAUCUUGAUUUUGUGGCAGCACAGGCACAAGAAUUUCUGGAGUGGAGUUUGAAAUACCUCUUGGUUUGCAUAGCGGAGAUAAAUUGCACUAAAUAGAAUGGGGAACAUGACGGUAAUUAACAGAAAUGAAAAGAUUUAGCUGUCCAAGUUGAAAGAGGUAGCUGGCCAGCAAAGGAAUGGCUCUAUGUCUGUUUGGAGGGUCAUGUAUCUCAGACAUGCUCUGUAGUUGGUCUGCUGCCUUUUCAGUAAAGUCAUAUUUGUUCUCCCAUUGGGUCUGGCAGAAGCACCAAGGGCAGGAGCUUCUCAGACUUUCACUACCCAAAUUCUAUUGGAAGAUACAGUGAACACUCCCCAGUUUUAUCACACCACAGGGACAGCCUAGGCUUAGGGACGGUUUU